rnacentral:lncRNA from 1 species
CCACUGCUUGUCUGUAGGGGGCAACCUUGCCAUGGUGAAGAGUGAGGAGGAGCAAAUCUUCCCGUGGAAGAGAGCCAAGGAGCUGAGCCAGGGAGACUCCUACUGGAUCGGCCUGAAGAAUGGUAUCCCAGGCGGGGCUGGCACUGGGUGGACAUCUCCCCGGUGGAAAAAGGGUUUUGGGAUAUUUCUUGGUAUCACGAGCCAGAGAAGGGGGACACCAGAGAGCUGUGUGCCUGGCUGUCGCAAGGAGACAGCCACAGGGCCGGUUGGUACGCCACCACGUGUAAGAACAGCCUGAAGACCAUCUGUGAGAGGACCCAGGGCACCCUGCAGUGACAUUCCCCUCUCCUCUUCUGAGAUAGUGUGAGGUUAGGGUAGCCACAGUCAGUGCAGUAUGAUUGCAUGAAAAAUCCAAUG